AUCUAUCACAUGGCAGAGAUAGAAUAAAAACAGAAAAAUGGCGACGGUCACGUUGUGGCGAGCCUUGCUGCGUCAUUAGAUAAUCCUCAUGCAAAUAGCGGGAAGAACAAAGGAAGGGGAGCCCGGGACCCCCGGGGGCGCAGGAUCCGGCGGGAGGAGUCUAAGAGGAGGAGGCGGCGGUGCCGGAGGAGGAGGAGGAGGGAGGGAGAAGAGAGGAAGACCGGAGUCCCCGCGGCGGCGGCGGUCCGGAGAGAGGGCGAGCCCCGCGCGGCGCCGGGGACCGGGCGCUACCACGAGGCCGGGACGCUGGAGUCUGGGG
rnacentral:lncRNA from 1 species